UUCGAAGCAACGCGAAGAACCUUACCAACUCUUGACAUCCCAUUGACCGCUUGAGAGAUCAAGUUUUCCCUUCGGGGACAAUGGUGACAGGUGGUGCAUGGUUGUCGUCAGCUCGUGUCGUGAGAUGUUGGGUUAAGUCCCGCAACGAGCGCAACCCCUAUCCUUAGUUGCCAGCAUUCAGUUGGGCACUCUAGGGAGACUGCCGGUGACAAACCGGAGGAAGGUGGGGAUGACGUCAAAUCAUCAUGCCCCUUAUGAGUUGGGCUACACACGUGCUACAAUGGACGGUACAAAGGGCAGCGAGACCGCGAGGUGGAGCCAAUCCCAUAAAGCCGUUCCCAGUUCGGAUUGCAGGCUGCAACUCGCCUGCAUGAAGUCGGAAUCGCUAGUAAUCGCAGGUCAGCAUACUGCGGUGAAUACGUUCCCGGGUCUUGUACACACCGCCCGUCACACCACGAGAGUUUGCAACACCCGAAGCCGGUGAGUAACCNUAAGGAGC
rnacentral:rRNA from 1 species